rnacentral:rRNA from 1 species
UACGAAGGGUGCAAGCGUUACUCGGCAUUACUGGGCGUAAAGCGUGCGUAGGUGGUUGUUUACGUCUGCUGUGAAAGCCCUGGGCUCACCCUGGGAAUUGCAGUGGAUACUGGGCGACUAGAGUGUGGUAGAGGACAGUGGAAUUUCCGGUGUAGCAGGGAAAGGCGUAGAGAUCGGAAGGAACACCCGUGGCGAAGGCGACUGUCUGGGCCAACACUGACACUGAGGCACGAAAGCGUGGGGAGCAAACAGG